AUAUGGAGGAUCCAAGCGUUAUCCGGAAUCAUGGGGUUUAAAGGGUCCGUAGGCGGGUUUGUAAGUCAGUGGUGAAAGUUUUCGGCUCAACCGGAAAAUUGCCAUUGAUACUGCAAGUAUUGAAUCAUUAUGAAGUGGUUAGAAUGUGUAGUGUAGCGGUGAAAUGCAUAGAUAUUACACAGAAUACCGAUUGCGAAGGCAGAUCACUAAUAAUGUAUUGACGCUAAGGGACGAAAGCGUGGGUAGCGAACAGGAUUAGAAACCCCGGUAGUCC
rnacentral:rRNA from 1 species